rnacentral:lncRNA from 1 species
UGAAACCUCCAGUACUGGCCAAAACUGGGUAAUAAAUGGACUCAAGGAGUUGUGGGCCCAGCCAGAGCCACAAAUUCUAUUUUCUUAAACAGAAGUAUACACUAACUCAUCUCACUCAGUCACAAACUCAAUAACUGUCAGAAAAUAACCAGGAGUUUUGCCUUGUGUUUUUGGCAAUGAUUUGAUGCUAGGUGCCUGCAGAGAGAGUUUUAUAACUAAAACAUGCUUGCUAUUGCCAAACAGACUUUGGCAAACGGUCUAAUGCAAUAUUUAUCAUAUGCCAUUUAAAGUGAACUGAAAAGAUAAAUGUAGGGAACAUUAAUAGCACACACAGCUGAUGCAUUAGUAUUAAUUUGACUGCCUUUGCUAACAUGCAAAAUAGUUUUCCACUCAGAGAAAUUAAUACAGAUGCAUCCAUAUUUAUUUGAUUGCCUUUGCUAACAUGCAAAACAGUUUUCCACUCAGAGAAAAUUAGUGUAGCUCCACCACAAGACAUGCAUAGACACACAGUGAGACAAAUUAUUUAUGAAGCAAGUGUCUGGGACAGGAGAGGUCAUUUGGAAAAUCCUCUAAAAGCCAAAGAAUUGGUUUCUCCCUUUCUGUGUCUUCGGUCAGGAAAAAUUCCCCCUUGUCCAUGCCGUAACAAAGUUUUCCAAAUAACUUAGCAAAACUUGAACUUUCUUUCUUUAACUCCGAGAAAAACUUGCCUUAAAUUAUUUGUAGGAAAAAGGUGGAAUAUGUAUAAUUAUUUAAUUGAACUCAAAAAUAACAAAUCACACUCCCAAGUGCUUACUAUGGCCGUUCUUCCACACAAGAAUGUUAGCAGUCUACCUCAUUUCAUCUUCAUAGCUACCCCUUGAGGCAGAUGCUAUCAACAUCCCCAUUUUAGACAUGAUGAAGCUGAAGCAUAUGUGAUUGCAAUAAAUUGUACAAGGUCACAGAGCCAGGACAAUGGAGCCUCAAACCCAGGCAGUCAGAUUUUAGCACCCCUGUUAUUAGACGUCACAUGAAUCUACUUCUCACAGGAAAAGAGAAACAUAAGGGCUUUGAAUUCUUUCCCUCUGGCCAAGCCAACUGACCACAAGUACCUUGUGGCCUGCUUAUGUGAUAAUAGAGAGCAUGGAAAGCACGGACUUAGCAAUCAACGGGACGGGAAUUCUACUUCUAAUCCUAUCAUCAUCAUGACUGGGAACAAAUGACAACCUAUGUAUCAUUCAGUUUCCCUGUCUGCAAAAUUUGCGUGAUAAUCCCUACCUUGCAGGAUUGCAGUAAGGAUGAGAGGUAUUGAGGAAGGGGAAAACACCUGAUUGACAGGUGGAAGAGUUCAUCGGGUAGUCACAGACUCAGCCAUCUCCAGUAGAGUGCCAGGGAGGACACCUGAAGAUCCCCCUUUAAGAUCUUCAAGUGUUCCAUUAGUGGCAUGAUGAUAACAAGAAUGUUCAAUUGUCACUGUAUCAUAAAGUUCUGUUAUCUUUUUGAUAGCUAUCUAGCCCAUGGUGAAGUAACCAGUGGGGGUUGUAUGAUGGAAUAACUGGUGUAUUACAGUAGCUGUAGGCAGAGAGCUCCGGGUUUCUUCAUUUUCAAGAUAAUCAGGCUGGAUGCAGAUAGAGCUUACCAGAUGGGAUGUCGGUGGCAUUAAUAGUGAGAUGAGCAAAAGGCUGAGCUUCAAGCUUGCUCCUCUUGGCCAGAUCUAACCAUGAGCCAUCCACCAUCGCUGGAGAUGAGAGAAACCAUAUUAUUAUAGCCAAAAUAGUAGUGACCCUGUGGGAUUUCAUACAGAUGUAUGGAUCCAUGCUUACCUUUCUCUGCUCUGAUGUGCUGUGAUCCAACGAUAUGUUGUAAUUCCUGAAAUAAAAAGGAAAAAUAAUUUUA